AGGAGUUGAAAUGCACCUCUAUAACAUCCACCUGCCCUAGAGGUGACAGAACCAUUAGGAGAGAGAAAGAGGGAGAGGUAGAGCUGACAACUAAUAAUACAACAACAAAGACAGCAUCUACAACAACAGCAAACAUAAGGGAUGGACCAAACCUUGUUCCUCCUCCUCGUUUUCUCAGGGCUGUCCAUCCUCCCCUCAU